UCGGACAUGGUGUACGGUACACCGCCUCUUGCCAUGCAUAGGUGUUUGAGAGGGAUGUUCAGAGCCAGUCCGGGGUUUGACUCCCCGUGUCCGAA